GACGAACGCUGGCGGCGUGCUUAACACAUGCAAGUCGAACGAUGAAGCCGGAGCUUGCUCUGGUGAAUUAGUGGCGAACGGGUGAGUAACACGUGAGUAACCUGCCCUUGACCCUGGGAUAACUGCUAGAAAUGGUAGCUAAUACCGGAUACGACCCUCGGAGGCAUCACCAGGGGGUGGAAAGAAUUUCGGUCAAGGAUGGACUCGCGGCCUAGCAGCUAGUUGCGGAGGUAACGGCUCACCAAGGCGACGACGGGUAGCCGGCCUGAGAGGGUGACCGGCCACACUGGGACUGAGACACGGCCCAGACUCCUACGGGAGGCAGCAGUGGGGAAUAUUGCACAAUGGGCGCAAGCCUGAUGCAGCAACGCCGCGUGAGGGAUGACGGCCUUCGGGUUGUAAACCUCUUUUAGUAGGGAAGAAGCGAAAGUGACGGUACCUGCAGAAAAAGCACCGGCUAACUACGUGCCAGCCGCCGCCGUAA
rnacentral:rRNA from 1 species